CUUGACGGAGCCGAGGCGCAGCGCGCGUCCUUCGGCGCGGUCCUGGCCGUAGGUGGCGAGCAGGGCCUGCGCCUC
rnacentral:antisense_RNA from 1 species